GACAGAGGAUGCAAGCGUUAUCCGGAAUGAUUGGGCGUAAAGCGUCUGUAGGUGGCUUUUUAAGUCCGCCGUCAAAUCCCAGGGCUCAACCCUGGACAGGCGGUGGAAACUACCAGCUGGAGUGACGGUAGGGGCAGGAGGGAAUUUCCGGGAUUCGGAGGCGGUGGAAAUGACGUGAGAGAUCGGAAAGAACACCAACGGCGAAAGCACUCUGCUGGGCCGACACUGACGCUGAGGUGCGAAAGCGUGGGGAGCAAACAGG
rnacentral:rRNA from 1 species